rnacentral:rRNA from 1 species
GGAUCAUUAUCGUAGUGGGCUCCGGCCCCUUCGAGAUAGCACCCUUGCCUUUUCGAGCACCAUACGUUUCCUCGGCGGGUACGCCCGCCAGCGGGGACACACCAAAACCUAUUGUAAUGAGCGGUAGUCGUCUGAGAAAACAAGCAAUAUCAAAACUUUCAACAAUGGAUCUCUUGGUUCUGGCAUCGAUGAAGAACGCAGCGAAAUGCGAUAAGUAGUGUGAAUUGCAGAAUUCAGUGAAUCAUCGAAUCUUUGAACGCACAUUGCGCCCUUUGGCAUUCCUUAGGGCAUGCCUGUUCGAGCGUCAUUUAACCCCUCAAGCUCCGCUUGGUGAUGGGCGCCUGUCCCGCCUCCGGGCGCGGACUCGCCUCAAAGUCAUUGGCAGCCGCUACGUCGGCCUCGAGCGCAGCAGAAACGCGCCUCGGGACCGCCGGGUCGGCCUCCAGCAAGCCCCCCAACCCAUUUUGACCUC